CCUACGGGAGGCAGCAGUAGGGAAUUUUCGUCAAUGGGCGCAAGCCUGAACGAGCAAUGCCGCGUGAACGAGGAAGGUCUUCGGAUCGUAAAGUUCUGUUGAAGGGGAAAAAGAGCGGAGAGAGGAAAGGAACUCCGAUGGAUAGUACCCUUCGAGGAAGUCACGGCUAACUACGUGCCAGCAGCCGCGGUAAUACGUAGGUGGCGAGCGUUAGCCGGAAUUAUGGGGCGUAAAGUGUGCGUAGGCGGCCUGCUCAGUCUGGAGUGACAGGUACCGGCUCAACCGGUACAGGCUCUGGAAACUGGCGGGCUCGAGAGCAGGAGAGGGCGGUGGAACUCCAUGUGUAGCGGUAAAAUGCGUAGAUAUAUGGAAGAACACCAGUGGCGAAGGCGGCCGCCUGGCCUGUUACUGACGCUGAGGCACGAAAGCGUGGGGAGCAAAUAGGAUUAGAUACCCCUGUAGUC
rnacentral:rRNA from 1 species